CGCAAGGGCGGCGGCGCCCCCUGGCGGCCAAGGGGCGGGGGCGCGGCUGAGCCGCCUCCCUCGCUCGCUUGUUCGUUCGCUCCCUCGCUGCCUCCUUCCUCGCGCCUCGGCCCAACAUGGCGAUGCACAACAAGGCGGCGCCGCCGCAGAUCCCGGACACCCGGCGGGAGCUGGCCGAGCUGGUGAAGCGCAAACAGGAGCUGGCGGAGACGCUGGCAAACUUGGAGAGACAGAUCUAUGCUUUUGAAGGGAGCUACCUGGAAGACACCCAGAUGUAUGGCAAUAUUAUUCGGGGCUGGGACCGCUAUCUGACAAAUCAAAAAAACUCUAAUAGCAAAAAUGAUCGUAGGAACCGAAAAUUUAAAGAAGCUGAACGGCUCUUCAGUAAAUCCUCAGUUACUUCGGCAGCGGCAGUCAGUGCAUUGGCUGGAGUUCAGGACCAACUUAUUGAAAAAAGGGAACCAGGCAGUGGUACAGAAAGUGACACAUCUCCAGACUUUCACAAUCAGGAGAAUGAACCUAGCCAAGAGGACACAGAGGAUCUGGAUGGAUCUGUGCAGGGAGUGAAACCCCAGAAGGCUGCUUCUUCCACCUCUUCAGGAAGUCAUCACAGCAGCCAUAAAAAGAGGAAGAAUAAAAACCGACACAGGUAUGUAUAUUAGGUUAGGCUGGGAAGUUUUUUUAAAAAACAGAAAAACGUGAUGGAGGAUUGAUCUGAAGCUAAACAAAAAGCCAAGAGCCGAUUAUUAGAAGACCCAUUAGUACAGAAGCUUACAGGCUGUAGAGCCCUGCCCUCAUACAACUUCACCAAGAUAAGCACCCCUCCACUGAGUGGCCAUUAACGUCUGCACUCUCAGACCCAGUGCCUGCAUCGAGGAGUAGUUUGUUCUAAAGAGGGGUGAAAGAAAAUCCUUUCUGUAAAACCACAUCAGACCAUUUACCUCGUGUCCUUUUUAGUAACUGAACUGCAGGAAGACCAAGGCAUGGUGCAGUCCUAGGUUGCCUACUUUCUGCAUUUCUCCAUUCUUGGGAUUGAGCACUUCGGCAUUGGCUGCAUCAAAUUCAUCUAUGACACCCAUCGAAAAAUGUUGGGGGGUGGGGGUGGGGGUUGAUGCCGAAACCAACGCCCAGUUGAGUUUUGUCAGAUGGAGGCUGUAAAUAUCAGGCAUUUCCUUAUUCUGCCUUAUGUGUUGUUUGUUGUUACUGUCUUGUUUUCUUUGAGGGGUUUGUUGUAAUACAGUUGUACAGCUUAUGGCUUCCUGCUGUUUUCUUUGCUAUUUGAUUGUCUUUACUUGGCUUAGGGGCUGAUAUCCUAACACUGAAAAUAAUCUCCAGUAGCAUAAAUAAAAUGGAUGACUUGU